rnacentral:lncRNA from 1 species
CUAAUAUGUGCUUUUGUGCUGAUCUUGUGCAAACUUCUUAAGCCUGCGCACCUGCUUUCUCAUGUCCUGUCGGUGGAAAUCAUGGAGCCUCGGGGUAAGAGGGACAUGGGGACAGCUCCAUGGGGACAGCUCCCUGGAUCUCUAUGGCCUUUAAAGUAUAGGUGGGCCAACCGGCUCAUUUCAGUUGGACCAUUGGUCAUCCUCUUAAUUCUCGUGUGUCCCUUGGCUGAUUGUCUGGAUCCAUCAACUAUUGAUGAAGAUCCUAGCCUAUUUUGUUACCAGGACAGAGAUGCACACAGAAGUCUGUCUGUAUGCGUCUGUGCUUUCUUACUAACACGAUUAUCAAAAUUCAGUUCUCCUCUCCUAAGAGCGAGAGUGUUCUUCAGUGGGACCCACCUCUGUAGACACACUGAUGUUGAAGUGAUGGCUCUUGUUUACCAAUGUCAUAUUUGAUAUCCCCAUCUUUUCUGGCCUCUUGGAGGAUGGGUGGGGCCAUUUUGACUGUGUCUGACUACAAGCUGUAAGAGGAAGUGGUGUAGUUAACUUCCAGGUUGAAGCAUAGCCCCAGGUUGGGGGUGAGUGGGAUAUCUCUUUCCCUUUCAUGGUAAUUGUGGAAGCCAUACAUUUCAGAGAAUUCAGUUCUAAGAUGCAGAAUGGGCCACUAGCCUCCAUCCAUCAGCAAGUGACUGUGUGGAUUAGGGCAUAAGCCCCAUGCUAUCCUGCAGCCCCUACCAACUCACAAUGGGCAUAGAAUAAGCCUUUGUUAUGCUUAGGCCCUAAGGCUUCAGGGUCUAUUAGUUACUGCAACUCACCCAGCCUGGCCUCAUGGUUGAGGAUUUCUGCAUCAGCCAUGGGCUGGAGCUGACAGUGCUUUCACAGGGGGGCAGGCUGGGUGUUCCAUCUUUGCAGGACAUCCUUUGUGUGGCCCAGCCGUGAGACGCACUGCUGUUUGAACGCUGUACUGUAGAAGGCACAGACUGAGAUGCUGGAUCAACUGCGCAUGCCUGUCUUUGUGACCGGCUGCUAUCGAUCCUUCCGAGCCCGUGUGCCACGCUGGAAAGCUGCAUCUAAGAGUUAAGAUUUACUGGCUUAAAAGCGUGUGUGUCGUGGGAUUGCGCGGUGGCUCAGUAAGUAAGUGCUUGCCUUGCACACACAAAGACCUAACUGUUCAAUGUGCAGCUCCUAUGUUUAAAAAUCUAGUUGAGCAUUGUGGCACACACUUAUAAUCUCAGCUCUAAAGAAGCAAAGACCGUGGCUCCCUGGGGCUCACUGGUAGCCAGCAGCCAAACUGGUGAGUUGCAGGUAAAAGUGAGAGUUUUUUUUUUUUUUCUCACAAAACAUGAUGGAUUAUGAGGAACUACAGUUGAGAUUGUCCUCUGGUCUCCACAGACACAUAUGUACUCAUACCUAUACAUAGUCAUGCACCUGCAAACACACACACACACACACACACACACACACACACACACACACACACACUCACACACACACACUCACACACACACUCACAUACACUCACAUAUACACUCACAUACACACACACUAACAUAUACACACACUCACACACACUCACAUACACACACUCACAUACACACACACACUCACACAUACUCACACACACUCACACACACACACUCACAUACACACACUCACACACACACACUCACACACACACUCACAUACACACACUCACAUACACACACACACCAACAUACACACACACUCACACACACUCACAUACACACACACACACACACUCACAUACACACACUCACGUGCAUGCACACAGGUCAGGGUACAGCAUUUAGGCCCCAGGUUGGACAUCAGACUACAACCCUUUUUAAUUGUGAGAAUUCAAUGUGAACAUCUUUGAAAUGCAGUUUCAAAUCUCCCACACGCUGACAAGAGCCACGUGAACCAUUGUGCAGCACUGCACCCAUUUGACAGAUGAGAGCAUGGAUACCUAACCGGAGCCUGGCAGGUCUUGGACAGCAGAGGCCACCCUGCAUCUGACACCAUCUCUUGUAAUCCAUGACUUCUCUUCCUGCCUCCAUGAAUCUCCAGAUAACAGAUUCCUGCCCUCCUAAAAGAUGGGUAUGUUUACACACUUCUAUUGAAAGUUGAUGCUCACAUAGAAUCAUAGUCAGGCAUUGUAGUGGGCCCAGAAAGGCAGGCAAGGCACAUGCAGGUUUCUCUAGGUUGGUAGCCAUGACGCUUGGGCUUUUCCGGUGUCCUUGACUAGAUCAUUUCCCUCACACCCCAAAAUAAUUUGAGCAGAUGUUUCAUCUCUAUGCAACUAGUCUUAGUGCUACCAUCACCAGCUUUCUUCUGUGGUUUCUCUUGGUCUUUCCUUCGAACUGACAUCCUAGCAGGCUCCUGGGCGAUGCAGAUGCUGGCAUUCUGGGCACUGCCCUUUGGAAAGCUAUG